GGUUCCAUUUUCUCUCUCUUGGCUAAAAUAGGUGGAUAGCCUAUCUGUAAAUCCAGGCUCAGACUGUUCUCCUGAGAUGAUGGUGUCCCAGCCUGGGUGUGGUUAUGCAGUCUUACUGUGUACUUGGAAAACAGAGCAGCAGUCUCCAACAGAGAGGAUAGACAGUUCAGCAGCUAGCAGGGAAGCUCCAGUUCGGGAUGUCAUUCUCCAUCAGACAUCAGGUAGAAUUCACAACAAGAAUGUUUCUACUCACCUCAUUGGCAGCAUUGGCAGAGGGACUUCCAAGAAGCACGCUGGCUCAGGUCUGUUUGCACUCUGCACCUUGGAUGGGACACUCAAACUGAUGGAGGGAGCUGACAAGCUACUGUGGUCAGUGCAGGUUGACCACCAACUUUUUGCUCUAGAAAAACUGGACGUUACUGGAAAUGGCCAUGAGGAGGUGAUUGCCUGCGCUUGGGAUGGACAGACGUACAUCAUAGACCACGGCCGCACUGUGGCUAGGUUCCAAGUAGAUGAAAAUGUGAGUGCCUUCUGUGCAGGUCUCUAUGCCUGCAAAGGAGGCUGCAAUAGCCCUUGCCUGGUAUACGUCAGUUUCAACCAAAAGAUCUACAUCUACUGGGAUGUGCAAUUGGAGAGAAUGGAAUCUACCAGUUUGCUGAAGAUACUAGAGAGUAACUCCGAAUACAAAGAUCUCCUACUCCAGCUGGGUGUGGCUGGAGAUGAUGUUUCUGCAGUCAAAGAUUUGAUUCACAAGACACUCUACUUUCCAGAGGAGCAGCUAAAUAGCCCUUCUCAGUUCAUGCCCACAGCUAGAUCCUCUUCCAGGAGCUAUCCUAUUUCCCAAGAGACCUUAUGAGCAGAUGACAUAUACUCACACAGUGAACAGCUCUGCUUCUCAUUCUGCUACCCCUCAUUUGUGCAAAUUAAGCACUCUUAAGAACCAGGACUUUGAAUGAAGGAGUUGGAGUAGCAGCAUGAAUCUUCAAGUGAAGCUGCUGUCUGAAGUCAACCUAAUAGGAAAUGCCCUUUUCAAUUUGUCUCAAGGUCCUCAUUGCUGUUGUUACUUUCUCAUCAGUCACUUUAUCUGCUGAAAACUUUAAUAAAGGCAACACAAGUCAUUUCUGUAGAAUCACCUUCCCAGCCCUAUGGAAACUCCCCUCUUCCCCCG